AUUGAACGCUGGCGGCAGGCCUAACGCAUGCAAGUCGAGCGGAUGAAGGGAGCUUGCUCCUGGAUUCAGCGGCGGACGGGUGAGUAAUGCCUAGGAAUCUGCCUGGUAGUGGGGGAUAACGUCCGGAAACGGGCGCUAAUACCGCAUACGUCCUGAGGGAGAAAGUGGGGGAUCUUCGGACCUCACGCUAUCAGAUGAGCCCAGGUCGGAUUAGCUAGUUGGUGGGGUAAAGGCCUACCAAGGCGACGAUCCGUAACUGGUCUGAGAGGAUGAUCAGUCACACUGGAACUGAGACACGGUCCAGACUCCUACGGGAGGCAGCAGUGGGGAAUAUUGGACAAUGGGCGAAAGCCUGAUCCAGCCAUGCCGCGUGUGUGAAGAAGGUCUUCGGAUUGUAAAGCACUUUAAGUUGGGAGGAAGGGCAGUAAGUUAAUACCUUGCUGUUUUGACGUUACCAACAGAAUAAGCACCGGCUAACUUCGUG
rnacentral:rRNA from 1 species